GUCCCCCUACGGGAGGCAGCAGUGGGGGAUAUUGCACAAUGGGGGGAACCCUGAUGCGGCGACGCCGCGUGGGUGAAGAAGUAUUUCGGUAUGUAAAGCCCUAUCGGCAGGGAAGAAAUUGGACGGUACCUGACUAAGAAGCCCUGGCUAACUACGUGCCAGCAGCCGCGGUAAUACGUAGGGGGCAAGCGUCAUCCGGAUUCACUGGGUGUAAAGGGAGCGUAGACGGCCAUGCAAGCCUGGAGGGAAGGCCCGGGGCCCCACCCCGGGACUGCUCUGGGAACUGUGCGGCUGG
rnacentral:rRNA from 1 species